rnacentral:lncRNA from 10 species
CUCAUCUAAAAAUUCCCUCUAAGAAUAAAAUAAGACUCUAGUAUUUACGAUUAAGAGGCUUUAAAAACUAUAAUAAUAGUGGCCAGAGGGGGGCCGGGCGCGGUGGCUCACGCCUGUAAUCCCAGCACUUUGGGAGGCCGAGGUGGGCGGAUCACCUGAGGUCAGGAGUUCCAGAACAGCCUGGCCAACACGGUGAAACCCCGUCUCUGCUAAAAAUACAAAAAUCAACCGGGCGUGGUGGCGUGCGCCUGUAGUCCCAGCUACUCGGGAGGCUGAGGCAGGAGAAUCGCUUGAACCCGGGAGGCGGAGGUUGUUGUAAGCCGAGAUCCUGCCACUACACUGCAGCCUGGGAGACAGCGAGACUCCAUCUCAAAAAAAAAAAAAAAAAGAAGAAAAUCUUGCAUCAACACUCCUACGCAAAUGUCUCUGCGAUUCAUUCAAUAACUGGUCAUCAACCUCCACCCCCAAACACAACUGUCAGGUCUAUGUCGUUCCCAAGUAGGCAGGUCGGUGACCCUCACGAGGAAAGGGAGUGUGUGGGCCUGUCUGUCUCCAAGGCCUCGCCACACAACAGUCCCUCAGCGGUUUCGCUGUUAUGCGAGGUCUUUACCCCGGGAUGUUCCGGGGAGUCAAUCCCUCCCCGCCCUAGGCUACGCCGGGAACGGCCGGCAGCUGAUCCGAACUUUCUGCCGGGCCUCCUUUCUCAUUCCUCGGGUUCGGCAGUACCACACCCGCCACGCGAUUGGUAUCGUAGGAGGGCCUUGUUUGACCACGGCGACUCGUUACUUAUGGGUGAGGAUUUACGCGCGUCCUUCCGGAGGCCACACAUCACUUCCCUUGCUCCGCCCAGUUUAGAGACCUGCGCACCCGCCAGGGCGUGAGAGAGACUACCCGGCGCGCGGUGACGCCCCAGCUCGCCCACACUUCUGCCCCGUCCCGCCCAUCGUUGCGCGGCCGCGGGCCAAUCAGAUCGUGCCUUUACUCUACGCCCCCGGCUCCCCCGAACUUCUGUCCUCAUUUCAGGGCGACUUUGGGAACACAAUAGUCGACUCGCCGACGUUCCCUUAGACGCGUUGCCAUACGUCGUCACCCAUAGAAACGGCUUUCCGCGGGGCAGACUCCAAGUCUCGCCUGUGUGAGCGGGCAGGGGUAGCAGGAAAGGCUGUUUUUCAUUUCCAAGAGAAAACCGUCACCCCGCCCACCUCGAACCUCCUCCCAACAUCUCAGGAUAGAAACGCCGCGCUCAGGUGAAUGAGAAAUGUUCUGAUACAGGAAAGAGGAGUUCGUGUUUCUUUCAGAAGGUGACCGUUUUCCUCCUUCUGAGGUCACGAGCUGUCCGUCCGAUGCCCAGAAUUCCGAGGCCUGAUGUGGCGUGUUUCCGGUAGCUGGGCUCCUCGGAGAGCUGUGGGAAGAGGCGCGGGCGACCGGGGGCGUCAGCGAGCCCUGUCUUCGCCUGCCUUCGCCGGCGUGGACUCUUCCCAGUGCCCGUCUUCCCCCGCGAAGUAAUAGUGUCCUGUAUUUCCUGACUGUAAGAAGAAUAGUGCUUUUAAAAAAUGCCUGCUCCCUGUAAUAGCAGCAGUAGUUCGAGAGUACAUACAUGUUUAUAAAAGAAACUUAAACUCUCAUUCUUGCCACAGUGGAUAAUACUAUUAACAUAUUGCUACAUAAAUUUAGAAUUUUCAUACAUACACGUAAAGGUGUUUGGUUUUUUAAAACAGAAAAACGUAAGCGCGUUAUCUCCCAGUAAUGUCUUUGCAGGUAAAUUAAAAUAAUUACAUAUAUAUUUAUAUUUAUAUAUAUAUAUUUUUUCUAAGAGAUGGGGUUGUUGCCCAGGCUGGUCUUGACCUCCCGGGCUCAAGUGAUACUCCCACCUCAGGCUCCCAAAGUGCUGGGACUGUGGGCAUGAACCACCGGGUCCAGCCUACAGAAUCAUUUUUAAUGGCUGUAUGGAUAUCAUAAUUUGUUCAACCAGUCCCUAAGUUGUUGGACUUUUCAGGUAUUGACAGCUUUUCAGGUCUACAAUCCUAGAUGAAUAUUCUUAUAUGUAAAUCUGUACAUGUCCCUGAUUAUUUUUUUACAAUAAAGUCAUAGAAAUAAAAUUACUGGAUCAAGGAAAAUGCACGUUUGUAAGACUCUAAAUGAUAUUACCAGACCCUCCCCUAGAAACCUAUUUACUACUUUUCCAUUAACAGUAUGAGAAGGAAUAUGCUCUCUGCAUCUCCUUGCUAAUCUUAGAUAUUGUCAGUCUUCGUGAUCUUUAUCAUCUCUUUAAAAAAGACUCGUUUUAAUUUGCAUUUUGUUGCCUAAGUGUAAAACUGAACAUCUUUCAU